CGUGUAGGCGGGUAGACAAGUCAGAUGUGAAAUACCGGGGCUCAACUCCGGGGCUGCAUUUGAAACUGUAUAUCUUGAGUGUCGGAGAGGAAAGCGGAAUUCCUAGUGUAGCGGUGAAAUGCGUAGACAUUAGGAGGAACACCAGUGGCGAAGGCGGCUUACUGGACGAUGACUGACGUUGAGGCUCGAAAGCGUGGGGAGCAAACA
rnacentral:rRNA from 1 species